GAGGUCUAUGGUCAACCAGCUGGUGCCGUUUUUUUCGUAAAGAAUUGGUAAAGAAGAAUGAAUGGAAGUGAGUGAAUGAAAUCGUCAUUCGAACAAAAAAAAUACAUGUUUUUCUUAUAAUUUCGUACGAAGGAAUACAAAAUCAUAAUUUAUGUGUGUUUUGGCAGCAAAUACAAUAAAUAAAUGCAAUAAAACAUUUUUCUAUGAAUUUUAAAACAUACAUCUGGCAUUAUUCUAAACCAUAAAAACACAACGUCAAGAUCAUACUUAAAAAAAAAACGUGUAGAGAUUAGGUAUCGUUAGGUUUUCAAAUCAAAAAUACUUAAUAAAACACAAAAAUGACUAAAUAAAAGGACGUCGAUGAAGAGGAAGACCAAGGCGGAACUAGUAAAAGUGGAAGUUGUGUUGUAUCAGAACGACGGAACUCGCUGUGAAUGCAUAUUAACAGUCCUCAACCAACAAGACUCCUAUCUUCUUCUUUGUCGUUCCCACACUGCUGAGGAUCGCGACCACAGGUUAUGGUUUUCCACUUGGUACGGCUAUAUGCUGCGUGCACCGCCCUCUGUAUGCUGCCGUCCACCGUCUUCUUCACGAUGUCAGACCACCUCGUAGGCGCCCUUCCUCGCGCACGUUUGCUAUCCAUUUGCCCAACGAUGAUCUGCUUCUCCAGACUGUGCUUCGGAGACCGCAUAAUAUGUCCGAAGAAGCUUAGGGCACGAUUCCGGCAUAUUGAGGAGAGCCGCGUCGUGAUCUUGAGCUCUUUUAAUAUGGACUCAUUCGUACACGUAAAUAGCCUUAAAUUACCAAGUAGAGAAAGUCCACCAUGAGGUGAGCACGAAGUUUUGAAGACAGGAGUGAUUGUAUUAGAUUUCCUCCUGAGCAGUUGCACUACAAAUUUAGUGAUGAAGAGGUGAGUGAUCGAAAAAAUAUGUCAUAGAAGAACUUGUAGACAUCAUAUUAAUCUGAGUUACUUGUAUUAAUCAGAUUUUUUACUAAUUUUCAGGCAAUACUUGACAGAAACCUUAAGUUGGAUGACAUAAUUAUAAAGAAAAUCAAUAAGAGGAUGAACUCUUUUAAUGUUUAUAAAACAAUAGUAUGGAAGAAUUUUGAUGCAUCUUGGAGCAAUGGCAACAUAUUUGGGAGUUGAGAGUGACAACGAGCAGAUUACAUAACAAUGGGAGGAUAACAAGGGCCUUAACUGAAAAAACUGGUGAAUGUUCCCAAAUAAACCUCACAGAUGUAGAAGAAAGACAAAAUAAAUUUGUUUAUUUAUUUUAUUUCUGUUCCCUACUAAACUAGUAAUAAAACAUACUUGUUACAAAUA
rnacentral:lncRNA from 1 species